rnacentral:rRNA from 1 species
GACAGAGGAUGCAAGCGUUAUCCGGAAUGAUUGGGCGUAAAGCGUCUGUAGGUGGCUUUUCAAGUCCGCCGUCAAAUCCCAGGGCUCAACCCUGGACAGGCGGUGGAAACUACCAAGCUGGAGUACGGUAGGGGCAGAGGGAAUUUCCGGUGGAGCGGUGAAAUGCAUUGAGAUCGGAAAGAACACCAACGGCGAAAGCACUACUGCUGGGACCGACACUGACACUGAGAGACGAAAGCUAGGGGAGCAAAUGGGAUUAGGAAACCCGAAGUGA